rnacentral:rRNA from 1 species
ACGAAGGGGGCUAGCGUUGCUCGGAAUGACUGGGCGUAAAGGGCGCGUAGGCGGUUCGUACAGUCAGACGUGAAAUUCCCGGGCUCAACCUGGGGGCUGCGUUUGAUACGUACGGGCUUGAGUUCGGAAGAGGGUCGUGGAAUUCCCAGUGUAGAGGUGAAAUUCGUAGAUAUUGGGAAGAACACCGGUGGCGAAGGCGGCGACCUGGUCCGAUACUGACGCUGAGGCGCGAAAGCGUGGGGAGCAAACAGGAUUAGAUACCCUGGUAGUCCACGCCGUAAACGAUGUGUGCUGGAUGUUGGGCAGCCUAGCUGUUCAGUGUCGUAGCCAACGCGAUAAGCACACCGCCUGGGGAGUACGGCCGCAAGGUUG